rnacentral:lncRNA from 1 species
UUCUGGAGCAGGGAUGCGAGUGACGUGUGGGGAUCGUAGGUUCUUCGGAAGGCGAACGCGCUUAUGUCCGUUCGCCUCUCUUCUGUGUUUCUUGUUCCACAGCGGCCAAAGAGGGAUGACGUUACACCCCUUGUUCUUGGCCUCACCAUCGCUGGCGUGGGGAUCGCCGUCGCAGUCUUCGUAAGUCUCUGCUUGCUGUCGAAAGAAGGGUGGGACGUGUUGGUGGAGCAGUGGAACAGAGGGGCGAGCACAGGUAGGAGAUGCGGUGUAGCCAGGGAGACAGAGACACAGACACAGCGUCGAGACAAGACAGCGACAAGCACGUGGGACCUCUCGCGUACGAAUGAGGCUGACAUGAGCCGCAGGAAUACCCCACGAAACUACGCGGGAAGCAGAAACGACGAGCGACGACACGGCGGCAAGGGCCGUUGUAAGUUGACAGGCACUUUUGUUUCUGGCGUGUUCCCCCACGGAUUCUUCCCCCGCCGCUUCCUGUUUCUCUUGUCAGUACGCAACGCUUCUGCGAGAACACGUUGAAGUCUUUGGGGGCAUCGUUGUACGUUAGCCGGAGCCGGUCCACAAAGACACCCCCGCCAGCCCUCCCCAUAUCGUCCCCCCG